AGGUCCUCUUUCCAACCUAACCUCCAACAAGGCCACACAUCCUCUGAGUUAACACACUGAAUUGUAAGGAGGUAAGGAGGAACAGAUCAAUCCAGUCUGCAGUCAGUUUGGACCAGCUAGAAACCAGCUGCCAACUUCCAAAACACCUUAAGCUUCCAGCAGAGAUUCCUUCAACAAAGACUUCAUGGCAUUUCACCUGUCUCAGAUGGCUGAAAGCUGUUGUCCGAGUGAUCUCAGGGGAAUGCAUACACUACGCCUCACGGUAAAAUGCUCCUAUCAGCGCGGCUACGGUAUAGAGAGAAAAUGACAACUGCAAUUACGAGGCUCUCAAAC